rnacentral:rRNA from 1 species
AUGGAGAUUGUGGCGACGGCUUUUGUCGGUCGUGUCGCACUGAAGCUGUUCGCGUUUCUAGAUGGAAAUUACAAGCUACGACGGAACCUGGAGCAUGAUAUCCAGCGCAUCCGGAUGGAGUUGGACAUGAUCGAUGCCGCCAUCCACGACCACGACGGCCGUCGCUCGAGCAGCCAGGUGCAGACCGCCUGGAUACAGCUCGCGCGCGAGCUGGGCCACAGCAUCGACGACUGCAUCGACCGCUUUUCCCACCGCCUGGCCAAGGACGCCGCCGCGUCGCCGCUCCGCAAGACCGUCAGCAGGCUGAAGACGGCGCCGAUCCGCACGGAGUUCGCCGCAGAGAUCCGGAAGAUCAGGAAGAUAUCGGAAGAGGUGUCCAAGCUGAGAGAGUGCUACGGCGGCGGCGAGUCCAGCACCUCGGAGGCAUCCGCACCGGGCGCCCUCUCCGAGGAGGUGCACGCACUUGCGGCCGACCUCGUGGGUAUGGACGCGCCCCGCGACGAGCUUCUGGAUCUGAUAAGGGACACCGAGGGCCAGCCUAAGCAGCUCAAGGUGGUCUCCAUUGUCGGCUUCGGAGGUUCGGGAAAGACUCUUCUUGCUAGGGAGGUGUACGAGAGCGAUACCGUGGUAUGCCAGUACAAAGCACGGGCCUGGGUUCGUGCGGCGCACAAAGGCGCGGUGGAUGUUCUCAAGGAGAUCCUCGAGGAGCUUGGGGUGCAGGUAACCGGGGAUGCUAGGAAGCUCAGCACAAAUCUCAGAAAAUGCCUCGAGUCAAAAAAGUUCUUCAUUGUUAUUGAUGACAUGAGAACGGAACUUUGGAAUACCAUGAAAAAUUCUUUCCCUGCAGUGAUGGGAGUGAGCAGCAGAGUUGUGGUGACGACACCCAUUCAGUACAUAGCAAAUGCCUGCAGCUCUGCUCACGGUCAUGUGUACGCAAUGAGAACUCUUAGCGAGGAUCUCUCAAGACAGUUGUUCCUCAAAGAAGCUUCCUUGGAGGAUUCAUCGCCUAGUAAUGAGCUCGGUUCAGAAGCACUAAAGAAAUGCGAUGGUCUGCCACUUGCUCUCGUUACCACAGCCCAGUUCUUGCAGAGCAGAGGUGAUCCGACAUGGACAGUGGGCAAGGUUGUGCAACAACCUGGGUGA